rnacentral:lncRNA from 1 species
GUGAAUCUUCAAGCAUGAUGGUUUUGGACUCCUCAAAAUUUUUAUAAUUUUUAAACCAAUCUUUGUCAUAACAGACAUGACGGUUUACACCAGAGUCAGCCCACCAUCCCUCAACAUUAACCACCAUGUUUAUAUCUGUUAUCACUGCCACAAAAGAUUCUUCGGUAAUGUUUGCCUGAGGUGUAGGCUCAUGUUUUCGAUAUUUGCAAGAUCAAGCAAUAUGCCCACUUUUACCACAGACAAAGCACGGUUCUUUUUCAUGUACAUGUUGAUUUUUUGCUUGGUUAUUCUCACCAUAUUUAUUAUUGGGAUAUCUAC